AUACGGAGGAUCCAAGCGUUAUCCGGAAUCAUUGGGUUUAAAGGGUCCGUAGGCGGCCUUAUAAGUCAGCGGUGAAAGUUUUUGGCUUCACCAAAAAAUUGCCGUUGAUACUGUAGGGCUUGAAUUUUUGUGAAGUAACUAGAAUAUGUAGUGUAGCGGUGAAAUGCUUAGAUAUUACAUGGAAUACCGAUUGCGAAGGCAGGUUACUAACAAACGAUUGACGCUGAUGGACGAAAGCGUGGGCAGCGAACAGGAUUAGAUACCCUGGUAGUCCACGCCGUAAACGAUGGAUACUAGUUGUUGGAUUUUCGGAUUCAGUGACUAAGCGAAAGUGAUAAGUAUCCCACCUGGGGAGUACGGUCGCAAGACUAAAACUCAAAUGAAUUGACGGGG
rnacentral:rRNA from 1 species